AUGUUUUAUUCCUUCAUUAGUGGAAGACCUACCCAUGCACCAACGCCUCCUGACAGAGACAGCGAGGACAAAGAUGAGCCGGACUAUGUAAAUGAACACUACACUGAUGAUCCUGUGUAUGGCAACAUAGAGGAAGACUUUGAUGACACCAUAUAUGCCAACACGUAGCAUCACUCGCUUCACUGGAGGAGCAGCUGCCUGUUGUUUGACUGAUGUGAGAAGUUUGUUGUUCACUUCUUAGAAUGAAUGCACGUGUGUUUUGGUUAUAGUUCCUCUUCUCUUUUCUUUUCCUGUGUGUUUGAUUGACUGCAAGAUGAUGUACAAUGUAUUAUAACAUAUAACCAUUAAACUAUUAUUAUGUUUAACCGCAUGAAAUUUGCUUUAAUUUUUGAUUUUUACACAGAAUCAGUCAUCCACUGUGUUUAAGGUGAUAAUUUCUAUAGGCCAGAUGCUGUAGGGUUUAGUUAAUGGAGCAUCUCAAGGACAUACACUCAAAGCUGAGCCAUUCAUCAUGAACCUGUGAAAUGUU
rnacentral:lncRNA from 1 species